GUAGGUGGCAAGCGUUGUCCGGAAUUAUUGGGCGUAAAGCGCGCGCAGGCGGUUCUUUAAGUCUGAUGUGAAAGCCCACGGCUCAACCGUGGAGGGUCAUUGGAAACUGGAGAACUUGAGUACAGAAGAGGAAAGCGGAAUUCCACGUGUAGCGGUGAAAUGCGUAGAGAUGUGGAGGAACACCAGUGGCGAAGGCGGCUUUCUGGUCUGUAACUGACGCUGAGGCGCGAAAGCGUGGGGAGCAAACAGGGAUUAGAUACCCUGGUAGUCCACGCCGUAAACGAUGAGUGCUAAGUGUUAGGGGGUUUCCCGCCCCUUAGUGCUGCAGCUAACGCAUUAAGCACUCCGCCUGGGGAGUAUGGCCGCAAGGCUG
rnacentral:rRNA from 1 species